rnacentral:rRNA from 1 species
AUUGAACGCUGGCGGCAGGCCUAACACAUGCAGGUCGAGCGGAUGAGGAGUGCUUGCACUCCGAUUCAGCGGCGGACGGGUGAGUAAUGCCUAGGAAUCUGCCCGAUAGUGGGGGACAACGUUUCGAAAGGAACGCUAAUACCGCAUACGUCCUACGGGAGAAAGUGGGGGAUCUUCGGACCUCACGCUAUCGGAUGAGCCUAGGUCGGAUUAGCUAGUUGGUGAGGUAAUGGCUCACCAAGGCUACGAUCCGGAACUGGUCUGAGAGGAGGAUCAGUCACACUGGAGCUGCGACACGGUCCAGACUCCUACGGGAGGCAGCAGUGGGGAAUAUUGGACAAUGGGCGAAAGCCUGAUCCAGCCAUGCCGCGUGUGUGAAGAAGGUCUUCGGAUUGUAAAGCACUUUAAGUUGGGAGGAAGGGCUGUAGGCUAAUAUCCUGCAGUUUUGACGUUACCAACAGAAUAAGCACCGGCUAACUUCGUGCCAGCCGCCGCUGUAA